CAUUGUGUGGAUAUACCACUUUUAUUUAUCAAUUCAUCAGCUGGUAGAUAUUUGGGUUGUUUCCACCUUAUGGCCCUUAUGAAUAAUGGGCUAUAAGAUUAAUGUGCAAGUGUUUGUGUAGAAAUGUUUCCAUUUCUCGUGGGUAUGCACCGAGGAGUGGAAGUGUUGGGUCAUAUGAUAACCCUUUGCUGAACUUUUUGAGAAACUGCCAGAAAACAAUUUCCACAGGGGGUGCACUAUUUUACUUUCCCACGAGCAGCAUAUGAGGGUUUUGAUUGCUCCACACCCUCACCAAUACUUGUUGUUAUCUGUCUUUUUGAUUAUAGCCAUCCUAGUGGGUGUGUGGUGGUAUCUCGUUGUGGUUUCAUUUGCAUUUUCCUGAUGACUAAUUAUCUAGAACAUUUUGAUUUAUGUGCUUUUCUUAAUAUACGUCCUACUUUAAUAAAAAAAAAGUGUAUUUUUAAAAUACACUCGCUUCUUGACCCCUGAUACCCAUAAAAAUUGCUCAGUUCUGAAAACACGGAACCCAGAACUUCUGGAGGCUAGAGAUUUUGCAUCUCCCAGAUGGGAUUCACCUCUGGGGGUAACCAAGUCAUUUUGGGACCAAGCUAGACUGGAGCUGCUCUCUUUCCCAGUAAGAAAUUUCCCUUGGAUCAUACACAGAAAGGCUCCAAAUGGACCUGUGUACAGGUAUGUAUUUUUCCCCUUAUACUCAGGUAAACUCGGGUUGUGAAAUGGGGUGGAAGGCUUGUAUUCAGACAUGGGUCAGCUAUCUGAAAGACUAUGUGGCACUGGACAAGGACUUGAGUCCUUGUCUCUUCAUCAAGGCACAAAGUUCAGGACAAGAAGAUUGAUGCACUUGAUCCAGACAUGGAGCUUGAGAAGAGAAUCAUCCCUAGAUCAAAUGAAAGGUAAUCCUUAAGAACAUGUGUUACUUGUCCUACUUUACAUGUGGGGAACCUGAAGCUUAGAGCAGUAAUUCACUCAAGCCUCAAAGUAACUUAGUCUGCAAAAAGCCUUACUUUUCAAUUCCCCCCUUCCUUAGAUGGUAGAGUGAAAGCUUGGUGCCUUGGCAUUACCCCCUGGGUACAGUUAGCUGCGUUUUCAAGGCAGCCUGAUGACCUGGUCUCUGUAGCCCAUGUUUAGUUCUGGGGCCAACCACUGCCAUGCACGCCUCUGGUCACUUAGGCUAUUCUUCCUCUGGUGAACCUGUGUGCUGGGUUCUUUCUUUUCCUCCUAUUGGGUGCAAGAUCUUAACAUUUCUCUACUUUCAUUCCAGCACUAGGUACCAGUAUUUUUUGAAAGUUAAGGGAGGUAUGUUAGUUGGGUUCCCCAGGAAACCCUCUACUGAGGUAGAGUUAAGAAUGAAAAUGGUUUCGGGGGAGUAUGUGUGAAAGAAGGGGAGCAAGCAGAAUUGGGCAGAGGGAUCCAUAAGAUGCACACCUGAAGUCUCUGCCAGCUCGAUGGGGAGUUGCAGAGCAAGGACUGCUUAACCAAGGAGUCCCACAUUGGUGUGAAAUCACUGGGUCUUUAUAUGACCACCUGUCCCCACCUGGCUCCUCCAAGGAAGUUGAAGUGGAUUCUGAGGAAGCUAAAAUCUGGCACCCAUUAGGUAGACACACUCUUCAAGUCCUUUCUUAAAAAAGGAGCUGAGCAGUACAUGUCCUCAUUUGCCAGCAGUCCAGACAAAGCCAGACAUUCCUACAGGAAUCAGUUAUUGUCUGGCUAGCUCAGGGAAUGGCCUGGAAUUCUGGAAAACUGGACUACAAACCUGGGCUAUAAACUGAAGAGCAUGUUGAUUCCAAUCUUCCACCCCUCCUUUUUUGUGGGUCACAUCAUGAGUGGUGUGUCACUGGGCUAGAAGGAUUCUGCAAGGUCCUUUGGGCCUCAGUACUCAAGGACUUGGGGACAGGUGAGUUACCUCGUGUCCUUUAUGCUGUCACACCUAUGUGAAUUCAGGUCUCUGCUGUAGGCCACAGUCACGAUGGUCAUCGUCACCAUUUUCCCAUAUGCACUUUACCCAGCAUCAACCAGCAUUCUUAGAAUACCAAAUUGAACUAGAGUAGAAUACAAAAGGAAGAUUCUAGUUCACCUUGUCUUCUAGAAACUUCUUGUAUUUGGAACAAUCACAUGCUAUGCCAAAUAUAGAAUGAAUACAGUGACCUCCUGGGUUCUGUGAUCCUGGGUUCCCAAUUUCCCCUCUAUAGAAUGGGAAUUACUAUGACUGCCUCAAGCCUCACCCUGAAAGGACUAUAGAGACUUCAAUGGUAUAAUGGAGGUGGAAGCCUUUGAGCACCUCAUUCCAAAGUUAUCAGAGCAUCUUUUGCCUAAGGCUCUUGAAACCUCUUAAAAGCACCACCACAUUUUCAUCAUACAAAAAUUGCCCAAGAGAGAUCUCCUCAUUACCAGCACUUGGUGGGAAUCUGGCAUUCAUCCUCACAAUUCCCCUAUGAUCACAGAGUCUUACCACAAAGGGCAUCUUUCUGCUAGUUUAUCUGCAGAACGGUCUGGGGCAGAAGGCAAAAGCACCAGACUAUCUCGCUUGCCUCCCCGCCUCUGCUGGGGCCCAGGCAACGUUCACCAGUGUGGUCCCCAGAACUCUGGUCUCCUUGGCAUAGUUAUUUUGUUUGCCAAGUUAACAUUUAUAAUUUUACUUCCUACUGAGGACACAUUGAGAGAAUUUUUGCCCACUGUUCAAAUUCAUGGGACUAAUAUGUUACUGGGAAGAUGUCCAAUGUCCAGGGGGAACAGGGGAAGCAGAAGACAAAGCCUGCUAAAGCGGGAAGGGACUUGCCUUCACUUCCUCAUUCACAGGUGAAGCAGACACGAUGAGCAGGUGCCCAGCCGGGCUGGACUCUGUUCACCUGAUCGAAGUAUACUGGUUCUGACUUCAAAGGUGUUGAGUGAGGUGGUAAGAACUUGGGCUUUAGAGUGAUGGGUCCUGGCUCUGCCACUUACUGUCUAAGAUUGGGCAAGUGACUUAAUCAUGAAGAACCUCAGUCUCUUCAGCUAUAAAUUAGAGAUCAUAACUCCCACCCUGCAGGAUUGCUAUGAUGAGAGAUAACAUAUGAAGAGUAACUGGAUUAUAAUAGAUACUCAAUAAGUGGUAAUUAUUAAAAUCAUUACAUUUUCUGCUAUAAAUUCAAAAAGUACUUAUUGAACAUUUACUCUAUUCACCCAUCUUUUCAAACAUCCAUUCAUUCCAAAAACAUUUCUGAGCUCAAGAUUAUGCUGAGGUCAGUGAAGGGUCCUACCGAGAAAUAGAAAGCAGGCUCCUUGAGUUCAAGAAACUCAAACUUUGACUGGAAAAUAAUAAAUUAGAAAAGAAUAGAAUUACAAAAUGGAAGCCAUCACACCUUCUUGACUGUGCUGUGGGAGUUAAGUGGGUAAGCCUGCAAGCUUGGCCUCUGGCCCCAGGCAGACUUAAUGGGUAGCCCGACUAGAGUUGUAUCUUACAUGGGGAGAGAGGCAGAGGCAGCCAAUCUACUAUGAAUCUUGGAAGCAUGGGUUUUAGGUCCCCUCACCUAGAAGGGCUUCUUCCAAGGCUCUGUACCUAAUUUUGUUUUUCUUGUCUAUAGAGGCCCCCCCCCACCUCCGCAAAUUGCAUAAACUUCAAGACCCACAAACCCUGGAUUAUCUCUCAUGGAGGACUGAGUUUUAAAGUCAGAAGAUAAAGUAGGAACUGACAAGCUCAUGCCUCGCAGCAUGCUCUUGGAAAGCACACAGGAGAGGUGAAGAAUCAGGAUACCCUGAGAUCUGAAAGGAAGGUAUGAAUCAAGUCAAGCUGAACAGUGGAGCAAGAAUUUGAAAGUUGGAAGCCUCUUGGACUAAGAGAAAAGAUAAAGGUGCCAGGUGGUGAGGAAUGUGAGGGCAGGGAACUAUACUUUAAACAGAAUACUCAUACAAUUUUCACAUUACAUGUGCAAGAAUAGUGUAUAAUGCAUAAUGGUGGAACCAUGUUUGGAGUCACACUGAUCUGGGCUCUACUUAUUUGAACUCCAUGACUUAGGAUAGGUCAAGGAACAUCUUAGAAUAGAAUUUCAGUUUCAUUUGUAAAUCAUAAUAGUAAUACUUAUCUCGAAAGUAUUACUUUUGGAAUUUUAGGUUAUAAAAUUAGGGAGAUAUUUUUCUGAAAAUGAUUUGUAAACUGUAAAGAGUUCUGUUUACCAAUAUUGGUUCUAAUUCAUUUUACUCACACUGUAGAAAGAAUGUACUUGUUCACCAACCUGAUAAUAGUGGAAGGACCCUUAGGGGGAAAACAAAGAAACAAACAAACCCAGCUCUGGUACUCUCAGAGUAAAAACUCCAGCUUAUUACAUACUUGUGAGCAAUUCCCUAAUUUCUCCAAUCCUCAGUUUCUCUAUUAAAUCAUGAAAGUUAUUAUACUUUGCCUUUAAACACCAGUGAGGUAAUAUCUUGAUCAGAUUUAUCUUUAAGUUCCUUGGGAGGAAAUAAAUGAAAAUAUCCAAUUCACUUUCCUUAUUCGGACCUUUACUAGAAUUUGGAAAGGAGACUCUCUCAAGACUUUGAGCAACGGGGAAGACUGCUGAGUGCCACAACCCACCUUGGGCUGGACUGUAAUGAGAAGGACAUUGAUUGAGUGCUAGCUGUUGGACAUAUGGUUUUGCCUCACCCUCGUAACAGGCUAAUAUGUUUGACAUUACGGCUUAUAUUACACAGAUGAGGAAAAUGGGGCUCAGAAUAUUUGAGCAAAUACUUCAGUUCCCACCUCUAGUAAAUGGAGGAGCAGAACGUCAGACCCAGAUCAAUGCUGGAACCUCCUUUUCCUGGUGUCCCCAGUUGACCUGCAGCUCCUUUGUGUCCAGGGCAAGGAGGAUUGAACCUGUGUUCUACAGGAAGUCAGGCCUGUGACAGAUCAGUGUCCAAAGUGAGAGACUCUGUCUUCCAGUAUGUUGUGGCUGUUUCUGUUGAGCAGUGUCUUCAAAGGUCUAAUGAAGGAGGCCACCAUGGUGCCUGCAUGUCACAGAAAGAAUGUGGGCUCACAUCUUCACAAUGGCAGAGAUGGGUACAAAAGCAAAGACCACAUCAAUUUUGGAGCAUUUCCACCUGUGAUGUUGGACAUCCUUCAGGCACGGUCUGAGAGAGGGACUGGACCAGCAUCUUCUGAACAUUGUAUUGUGGGGGAAAGACACAGAUAUGAGGAGCUCUUCCCCCUGCAGAUACACCUGUGGCACGAGCCACCCUUCCCCCAUCCCCUAAGGCAGAGUCUCCUCUCCAUCCCGUGCACACCCUUGUUGGUUUAUAGGUCCCCACUAUUAGAUGAGUAAUAAACAGUAGGAUAUAAGCUUCCCUUCUGGCCAAUCCCAGAGCUAAAGUAACAUGUUCAAACACCCUGUUAUUAUUAUUACCAAUGAUAAUAAGAGGAAUAAUGAGCAAGAAUUGCUUUUAUUAAAUAAAUCAGGAAAAUGCACUUUACAACAUGUUCCAGAGACAUGUCAAGAGGCUCUCUAAAUGUCUGGAUGGUGUUGGAGCUUGCGUUGCUCACCAUUAUGAGGGAGUUUUUCUACAAUUACUAGUCUCUCAACAGCAGGUUAGGACUCAUCUUAUAAAUAUAUAAUAACAUAAACGGGCUUUCUGUUUAUCAACUACUAUCUUAUAAGUGUGUGCUUUCCUCCUAUAAAUCCCCUUUUUUAAUAGGUGCAUUUUUGAAAUGAUACCAUAAUUGUAGCCAUUUAAAGACUAAGAUAUUUAACCUUGAUCUGUUGCUAUUUUUGUCAGUUUUGGAAUUUAAAGGGAAAUCUUAGUUUCCUCAGCUCUGUAACCUUCUUUAGGGUCAAGUGCAGUGAUCUGAGCAUGCCAAGCAUGCCAUAAAGGUGCCCAGUAAGUGUUUUGUUUUUUUUUUUUUUGAGUGAAUGAAUAACUACAGAGAUCUUGUAGUUCAUCUACAUCACUCUCUUGCAUUCUAGGUUCUAUCUGAAACUAUCCUAGAAAGGUAGCAAUAAUAAUAUAGGAGAAGGGUGCCUGGCUGACUCAGUUGGUAGAGCAUGAGACUCCUGUCGGAGUUGUGAGUUUGAGCUCCAUGUUGGGUUUAGAGAUUACUUAAAAAUAAAUCUUCAAAUAACAGUAACAAUAACAAUAAUGUAGGAAAGCACACAGCUUGAGAACAAAUUUGUCCACCAUUGGAAUUCAGUAUUUGGUGUGCUUGGUGUAUUUUCUUUUUAAGUUGGCUUUGCACCCAGCGCAGAGCCCAAUGUGGAGCUCAAACUGAUGACUCUAAGAUCAUGACCUAAGCUGAGACCAAGAGUCAGACGCUCAACCAACUGAACCGCCCAGGUGCUCUGUGCCUAGUAUAUUUGACAUUUGGAAUAGAUCAUUUUUUAUACACUCCCUCCCUCUAUUCCUCAAAAUUAUUUCCCAUAAUACUCAUUUUCUUGAUUAGUUCUCCAGUUUUAAAAUAAUUUUAAAAAGAUAAACAGUAAUAAAGAUAUCCAAAUUUAGUAACUUACUUUAUUCAUGGUCCGAAAUGAACUGUUACCAAAAUACUAUACCUCGCAGUCCACACUGUGUUCCACUGUUUUAGAAUUUAAACACAAAUAAGACUCUAAGUCCUUGCUGCCUCUACACUCACUGCUCUGUUACUUUUUCCAGUGUGUGGGGUUUUAUUCAGUGCCAUCAAGCAAUUCUCCAGUUCUCAGUGGGCACUGACUGGGUGUCCCGCAAAUUUAGCUCAAUUCUAACACUGUCUGGAGAUAGUAGAGGUUCCAUGAAUAAGAACUCAGCCCGACAGUACUUACCCCACUUUGGAUGCCAAUCUCAGGUUCAGAUUAUUACCUGUGCUUCUAACCAACUGGCUAUAAAACAGAGGUACCUACGACCCCCCUCCUUGGGUUUGAUUAAUUUGCUAGAGGAGCACAGAACCCAGGACACCAGUUUUCUUACUAGAUACUGGUUUAUGGCCAGGGAUGUUAAAGGAUAUGAAUCUACAGCUGGAUAAAGAAAUAUAUUGGGUGAGGUCCAGAAGGAUCUUUAACACUGGAGCUUCUGUGCCAGUAGAGUUUGGGAAGUGCCAUUCUCCCAGCUCAUGGAUGCAUUCUGGUUCACCAGCUUGGAAAACCUCUGAAACUCUCCUUUUUUUGUUUUUUGUGUAGGCGCUAUUACAUAGGCAUGAUUGAUUAAAUCUUUGGUCAUUGGUGAUUGCUUCAACCUCCAGCCUCACUCCCCAGAGGUAUAGGAGGAAGCAGUGGGAAGGAAAAUUCCAACCCUCAAAGCCUGGUUGGUUUCCCUGGCAACCAGCCCCCAGCCUUGAGGGUUUCCAAAAGUUACCUCAUUAACAUAAACCCAGUUGUAGUGGAAAGGUGCUUGUUAUGAAUAACAAGACACCCAUUUCACCUUUAUGGCUCUGAAGUGAUUUCAGGAACUGAGGACAAAAGACCAAAUAUUGUAACAAAAGAUGCUCCCAUUGCUCUUAUCUGCUCCAGAAAUUCCAAGUGUUUGGGGAGCUGAGCCAGCAACUGUGGACAAAGACCAAAAUAUAGACGUAUCACACCGUUUAUUCCAAAUAAAUGGUUUAAAUGUGAGAAGAUCUGAUACCACAUGGAGCAAAGAUAUGACGCGUGUCUGGAGGAGAGUUCCAACAACUCUGAGCCAUUCUGCCCUUGCAAACAUACCCUUGGAAACAGUCCUGUGGCUGAGUCCUCAGGGGUAGGGUGGGUCAGGGCAACAGGAUUGUAUAACUGGGAGUUUCGGAAAUUAACUGCCAUAUAGAAUACAGUGUUCACUAAAAAUGGGUUAAUUUGGAUCAUGUAAGUGUGUGUCUGUGUGCAUAAACUCAGCAGUAAUCAUAGCAACUAAUUAGAACUGAGACCAAUAUGAGGUUUGGUGGGGGCCGGGAGCAUUUUCUCAAUGACUUUCUUUUGAACUGCAGGCACAUGUUACGUCGACUGACUUCAGUUUCAUUACUGUUUUUAAAUUCUCUACUGAAAAUGCUCCCCAUUAUUGCUUCCUAGUCAGCAGUCCAUUGUCAGAAAACUCACAGUAACAGAAUUAGGGGGAACAAGUGUGAUCUAGGGGCAGGGCCUACCCACUGAGGGGAGGUGCAUUUCUCAGUGCAGCAGGACCUUCACCUCUGCCUAAUGACAAAACUAAAUCAAUUUAGUGGUGAGUCUGAUGUCCUUUAUGCAAGGGAAAAUAUUCCAUGAUUGGGGCGGAAGGUAAUAGUGCCUCACAGGCAGGGGACACUUCCUGAGGCAUCUGGGACAAGUCCGAGUUUUAUAGAACCUGAGAAGAGGUUCUAUAGGCAGAAAUGGCACAAUCAGCUAAUAGAUCCUAUUUUCCAGGGUAAGAUGAGCUAGCUAAAGUUGAGCUGAAGGGUUGUGACUGGAAUAUGUUCCAUUCCCUUUGAUAGGUGUUUCCCCAAAGGACAGGCUGACUCGGGUUUAGGCUUGUGACCUGGGCCAGGCCCCUAGGGUGGCCUCCAUCUUGUGAGUCCAGACAUAUGAAUUAGCUUUACCGGCUCUCACACUGAUGUCCCUGCCCCCAGGAACUCAUAUCUGAGUCCAGCAGGGUUGAGGUGGUGAUAACAGGAAGGGCCACUAAUUAAACCCUAAAUAAGUCAGUUUGGUCCUUCUGAUGAGGGAGCAUAAGGCAGGCUGAGGGCAAAGUACAAGCUAGCACACACCUCUUCCCACCAGGUAGAAUAUGUGUGAUAUUCCUCAGGCACUCCUGGCUGCCCAAGAACAAAGGAAAAGAAAGGAAACAAAUGGUUAACUGAUAGAGAUCCCAGUUAUACAGGACAUGAGUCUCCAUCAGUUUACAAAUAUCUGAGUAAAUUACAAGAAAAAGGCAAUCUUCUCAAUCGCCUAAUAUACAGAAACCUGUAGACUCAGUUUCAUGGAGCCCUAACAUCAUCUUCCCCUCCAUAGAGAUAUGGGGAACAAAGGCAGGAAGAAAAUGGCAGGUAAAAUUAAAUUUCCUUAUAACCUGCAGCCCAUGGACAAAUACUUGCUGCAAAAACAGAGUAUAACUUUUCUCCAGGCACUCCCUACUGUCUUAAUGUCAAUGCUUUGCUAGAGGGGAAAACCUUAGUGUGACAAUAGCUAGGACUUCAGUUAUCUGGGAGUCUUUAGCGUAUGAAAAUCCCUUUAAGAAACGUCCUCUUGACUUUACCUCCCCCUACUUCAUAGUAUAUAACCAGUCACUCUGCACAACCCCAGUGCUGCUUUUUAUGCCCACGGGUCCUGUGCCUGUGCUUUAAUAAAGUUACCUUUUUGCA